rnacentral:rRNA from 1 species
AGUGAACGCUGGCGGUAGGCCUAACACAUGCAAGUCGAACGGCAGCACAGUAAGAGCUUGCUCUUACGGGUGGCGAGUGGCGGACGGGUGAGGAAUACAUCGGAAUCUACUUUUUCGUGGGGGAUAACGUAGGGAAACUUACGCUAAUACCGCAUACGACCUACGGGUGAAAGCAGGGGAUCUUCGGACCUUGCGCGUUUGAAUGAGCCGAUGUCGGAUUAGCUAGUUGGCGGGGUAAAGGCCCACCAAGGCGACGAUCCGUAGCUGGUCUGAGAGGAUGAUCAGCCACACUGGAACUGAGACACGGGCCAGAAUCCUACGGGAGGCAGCAGUGGGGAAUAUUGGACAAUGGGCGCAAGCCUGAUCCAGCCAUACCGCGUGGGUGAAGAAGGCCUUCGGGUUGUAAAGCCCUUUUGUUGGGAAAGAAAAGCAGCAGGUUAAUACCCCGCUGUUCUGACGGUACCCAAAGAAUAAGCACCGGCUAACUUCGUG